CUACUCAUGCAAUCAGUGGAUGCCUUGGCAGUAAAAGCCGAAGAAGGACGUUUCAAGCCUGCGAAAGUUAUCGGGGAGGUGGCAAGAACUUAUGAUCCGGUAGUGUCCGAAUGGGGAAACCUAACCAGAUUUAUCUGGUUGUUACGCUUUGAUUUAUCAAAGUGUUUCGGGAACUUGGGGAACUGAAAUAUCUAAGUACCCAAAGGAAAAGAAAUCGAAUGAGAACCCCUUAGUAAGCGACGAGCGAACAGGGGCGAGUCUAAACCACGAAUUUAUUCGUGGGGUUGCAGGGCCAGACACAACUUAGUUUUUUCGAUAGAAGAACAAUUUGGAAUAGUUGACCAUAGGGGGUGAGAGUCCCGUAUUCGAAAUUGGAAAAACUAAAGUCUGGUACCUAAGUAAAUCUGGAGACGGCAAACUCUAGAUCGAAUCCGGGCCGACCACGGUCCAAGACUAAAUACUUUUACUGACCGAUAGUGAACUAGUACCGCGAGGGAAAGGUGAAAAGAAGGGCGAGUAGCCCUAUUAAAAGAUCCUGAAACUGAUUGCUAACAAACAGACGGAGUCUGCCGUAAGGUGGAUGACGUCGUGCCUAUUGAAGAAUGAGCC
rnacentral:rRNA from 1 species